GACGAACGCUGGCGGCGUGCUUAACACAUGCAAGUCGAACGAAGAGCGACGGAAGCUUGCUUCUAUCAAUCUUAGUGGCGAACGGGUGAGUAACGCGUAAUCAACCUGCCCUUCAGAGGGGGACAACAGUUGGAAACGACUGCUGAUACCGCAUACGAUCUAAUCUCGGCAUCGAGGAUGGAUGAAAGGUGGCCUCUACAUGUAAGCUAUCACUGAAGGAGGGGAUUGCGUCUGAUUAGCUAGUUGGAGGGGUAACGGCCCACCAAGGCGAUGAUCAGUAGCCGGUCUGAGAGGAUGAACGGCCACAUUGGGACUGAGACACGGCCCAGACUCCUACGGGAGGCAGCAGUGGGGAAUCUUCCGCAAUGGACGAAAGUCUGACGGAGCAACGCCGCGUGAGUGAUGACGGCCUUCGGGUUGUAAAGCUCUGUUAAUCGGGACGAAAGGCCUUCUUGCGAAUAGUGAGAAGGAUUGACGGUACCGGAAUAGAAAACCACGGCUAACUACGUG
rnacentral:rRNA from 1 species